UCCGUAGGUGAACCUGCGGAAGGAUCAUAGUAAUCGUCUUUGACGUUCGCUUUUCCGUCGUCCUCGGGACGUUAAGGUGCUCUGGUCGAGGAUAAACGACCCCUCUGACCGAGGUGAAACCCGUCUCUCCGUGUUACCUCGAAAAACUGUUUUUUCCAAGGCACACGUUAAAGAUUGUUCCGCGUUGUGAGUCUAACAUCGGUUGUAUAAACUUUUUACAACCGGUAGCGCUGGAUCCCUUGGCACGUCAUUCGAUGAAGACCGUUGCAAAUUGCGAUAAAGUGAUGUGAUGCGCAAGUCCACCACUUAUACGUGAAUCAUCGAGUUGUUGAACGCAUUGCACCGCGCCCUAAUCCGGCUGCGGUAUGCCCCUUUGAGCGUCAUUGUAUCCCUUUGGGAGUCCUUUUACAAGGACCCGAGUUCGGAGUCCUCGAUCCUCUCUGGAUCGUGUUCUCUCAGAUGCCUCGCGCCGAUCGCCUGAUGGGUCCUCUAAUGCCUAAGCGUGGAGUUCCUUCAGUCCGAGACGCGCUUGACCGGGUCUUGAGCCUGCGUCAUCAAGUCUGCCUAACCAGCGGUACUACAACGCAUGACCUCAUUGGGGUAGGACAACCCGCUAGACUUAAGCAUAUUAAUCAGCGGAGGAAAAGAAACUAACCAGGAUUCCCUCAGUAACUGCGAGUGAAGCGGGAUCGGCUCAAUGUGUGAAUCUGGCUUGGGGUACGUCCCGGGUCCGAGUUGUGCACUACGGAUGCUUCGUCUGCGUUUGUAAAGGCGGUGGAAGUCCGUUGAAAC
rnacentral:rRNA from 1 species